rnacentral:rRNA from 1 species
CAAGUCGAACGAGAAAAGUUCCUUCGGGAACCUAGUAUAGUGGCGCACGGGUGAGUAACACGUAGGUGAUCUACCUCUUGCUGGGGAACAACCCCGGGAAACCGGGGCUAAUUCCGCAUACGUCUUUCAAUCUGCGGGUUGAAAGGGAAAGGUGGCCUCUUCAUGAAAGCUAUCGGCGAGAGAUGAGCCUGCGUAUCAUUAGCUUGUUGGUGAGGUAACGGCUCACCAAGGCUCCGAUGAUUAGCUGAUCUGAGAGGAUGAUCAGCCACACUGGAACUGGAACACGGUCCAGACUCCUACGGGAGGCAGCAGUGGGGAAUAUUGCGCAAUGGGCGAAAGCCUGACGCAGCAACGCCGCGUGAGCGACGAAGGCCUUCGGGUCGUAAAGCUCUGUCGAGAGAGACGAAACCCUGAUGAGAACAAUACCUCAUCAGUUUGACGGUAUCUCCAAAGGAAGCACCGGCUAACUCCGUGCCAGCAGCCGCGGUAAUACGGAGGGUGCAAGCGUUGUUCGGAA